rnacentral:rRNA from 1 species
UACGUAGGCAGCAAGCGUUGUUCGGAGUUACUGGGUUUAAAGGGUGUGUAGGCGGGUAUUUAAGUCAGUGGUGAAAUCUCCGAGCUCAACUCGGAAACUGCCAUUGAUACUAUUUAUCUUGAAUAUUGUUGAGGUAGGCGGAAUAUGUCAUGUAGCGGUGAAAUGCUUAGAUAUGACAUAGAACACCGAUUGCGAAGGCAGCUUGCUAAACAAUUAUUGACGCUGAGGCACGAAAGCGUGGGGAUCAAACAGG